AUACGAAGGGUGCAAGCGUUACUCGGAAUUACUGGGCGUAAAGCGUGCGUAGGUGGUUGUUUAAGUCUGUCGUGAAAGCCCUGGGCUCAACCUGGGAAUGGCGAUGGAAACUGGGCGACUAGAGUGUGGCAGAGGGUAGUGGAAUUCCUGGGGUAGCAGUGAAAUGCGUAGAGAUCAGGAGGAACAUCCGUGGCGAAGGCGACUGCCUGGGCCAACACUGACACUGAGGCACGAAAGCGUGGGGAGCAAACAGGAUUAGAUACCCUGGUAGUCCACGCCCUAAACGAUGCGAACUGGAUGUUGGGUGCAAUUUGGCACGCAGUAUCGAAGCUAACGCGUUAAGUUCGCCGCCUGGGGAGUACGGUCGCAAGACUGAAACUCAAAUGAAUUGGCGGGG
rnacentral:rRNA from 1 species